AGCACUUGUGUGUGUGUUUUUAUUUAACUUGUGGACAAAGACUUAUAGGCAGGUGCAAAAAAUAAAUAUGUUUUUGCAACCCAGAACUCACUGUACAGUAUGAGUUUUGAUACAUAUAAGAAGGAAGAUG
rnacentral:snoRNA from 1 species